UAAAUCCUGAGAUGUGCGUUAUGCUUAUAAUAUUCAACCUACAUUAUAUAUACGGGAUUUGCGAAAUCUUAUGAAGAUGUCGGACUUCAGAAAUUCACUUUUAUGUGGCAGAAGAUAACAGAUUCUGAGUGAGCGAAACCCACCUGCGAGCUGCAGGUAUGAAUAUUUAAGUGGACGGCAUGUUGGGAAUAGC
rfam:Clostridium chauvoei JF4335, WGS project CBML01000000 data, contig: 00001